GGCUCUGUAGCUCAGUUGGUAGAGCAGUGGACUGAAAAUCCACGUGUCGUUGGUUCGAUUCCGACCGGAGCCA
rnacentral:tRNA from 1 species